AUUGAACGCUGGCGGCAUGCCUUACACAUGCAAGUCGAACGGCAGCGCGGGAGCAAUCCUGGCGGCGAGUGGCGAACGGGUGAGUAAUGCAUCGGAACGUGCCCGGUAGUGGGGGAUAACUGCUCGAAAGAGCAGCUAAUACCGCAUACGACCUGAGGGCGAAAGGGGAGGAUCGCAAGACCUCUCGCUAUCGGAGCGGCCGGUGUCGGAUUAGCUAGUUGGUGGGGUAAAGGCCCACCAAGGCGACGAUCCGUAGCUGGUCUGAAAGGACGGCCGGCGCACCUGGGACUGCGACACGGCCCAGACUCCUUCGGGAGGCAGCAGUGGGGAAUUUUGGACAAUGGACGCAAGUCUGAUCCAGCCAUGCCGCGUGCGGGAAGAAGGCCUUCGGGUUGUAAACCGCUUUUGUCAGGGAAGAAAUCUUCUGGGUUAAUACCUCGGGAGGAUGACGGUACCUGAAGAAUAAGCACCGGCUAACUACGUGCCAGCCGCCGCGGUAAUAC
rnacentral:rRNA from 1 species